rnacentral:sRNA from 1 species
GAGAAUCGUUGUGGGUUAUUUUUUUUUAUUUUUUUUUAUUUUUUUUACCUUGUGCUUAAAAGUUAUUACAUGGAGAAUUUCAUAAAAGUGUCAUUAAGUGAUUGACAUUUCGAAUAUUCCUGAAUUUUGUAGGAUUUUUAAAAGUCAAGAUUGAAUAUACGUGACUUUUGAAGACUUUUCAAAAGUUUAUUGAACAGCAUCUCCAAGAAACUCUUUAAAUAUAAAAUGGUCUAUAUUUUAAAAAGUCAACCCUUAAAAUCACGCUCCAAUAAAUUCUUUAACUUAAUAUUUUAAUUUAGACGGCGAUUCUUUAUAAUUAAAUGCAUUCAAAGUAUUUCAAUUUUCAAUGUAGGAAAAUAAUAAAAUAAUCAAAAGAAAAGCUAAUUAAAAUUAAAGAUGGAGAAAAAUAAUAAAUAUUUUGUGAGCGAAGUAAAAUUAAGGCUCUGUUUGACCCACAUUCUUUAUAAUAAAAUAAAUUAAUUAAUUAUUUAAUUAAUUAAACAGUGAUUUGAUAUCGUUUCAACCACACAUUCUUUAAUAAAAUAAUAUUAUACACAAAUCUAAAACUUUUUCUUAUUUUUUUACCACGCAUUUCUCAUCAAUACACUAUUCAAAAAUAUAUUCUUAUAGAAAUAAUGCAACUCAAACAAGGGCUAAGUGUUAUAUAUGAAGAGUUUGUUAGAAUAUUUCAAAAUUUCAACUCUCUAUAUUAUAGAUACUCUAUAAAUGAUAGUAUAUACUCUUUAAAAAUAGACAGUAUCUUCAAAAUGCUUCAAGUCUAGUAAAUACACCUAAACUUUCAAACACCAUAAAAGUUUUUAAAAGUCUAAAUUAAAUACGGUAAGUAGUCCUCCAAAGCUCAAGGUUGAGAACAAAAAUUAGGGAUUUGUUUGAGCCCCAUUUUUUUGGAGAAUAGAUUUUUAAAUAGUGAUUUUUUGGAGAAUGUGUGAUUAAAAAGUAAGAAAACAUUUUUUUAUUUUACGUGUAGAAUUAUAUUAUUAGGAAAAUGUGUUGUUGAAAAUGAGUUUGAAAUAAAUUUUUAACGAAUGAGGGUCAAACAUGUGCUAAAUAAAUAAUAUAAAAUGGCAAAAAGAGCGAUCAUGUUCGCAAGCAACCCAAUGAACAAUUUAGAAAUCACUCUCUCUGACGUGUUUUGAGCAAUCUCUUAACGGUUGAAAUACACCGUGUAAUCUGGAGCAAAGGUUACCAUAAUUCACCUCCCCUGCAAUCUGUGCACAAUAUAGCAGCAACACUAUUCUUUUUAAUUACAAUUUACAGGUACAAUCUUGCCAGUAUUUUCACAUAUUCUUUAAUUUUUCUACCUUCCACUGAAUGCAUUAGAUUCCUCGAGAGUAGUACAACAUUUUCAUUUUGAAGCUUGAGAGUGUACAAACCAAGAAAAUAGUUUUCCAGCAUCAGUAAAAAGUUUAGAAGGAUAAACACUGCUUAUCCAACAUGUCACAUCCUUGCAGGCAUGACGACAUAUAACACGAGACUAGUGGGGAAGCAUCAGUUUCAUAUUUUUAUUAACAACAUACUGUAAUAAAUUGUUAUGUCCAAUGACAUGAAGAAUAAAAAAUGGUGUCUAUGAAAGAACGCACUCACAUUGAUGGAAUAUGCAGUUCCAAGUACAAAACUGAUGAAAAGAGCCCAGAACAAUGGCCACGAACCAACAAUCCAUCCAAGUGAAAAACUCUGUCAAAUAGAAGAGAAAUAUCUUUGUAAGUCAAGUGAUAACCGUGAAUGAGCUUUCACAUAGAACAUACAAGUCAUAGUCUCACACAAAAGAAAUUAUAUGAUUUUCCCAUACGUUUUUUAUUCGCUAUUCUUCUAUAUAAUUAAUACAUAAAUGAAUUCAGAUGUUCAGGAUUUCUCUGAUUAGUUUUCCUACUUCCUUGAACCUGCCCUCAUCGAAUUGAGUGUCUAAACUUCCCGCAUUUGGAGACAGAUUAAUAUUUAACACCUCAUACUUUCAUAGUUUUGUACAAGUCUUGGUCCCUUCCCCAUAUAUAUGAUUAACCAGUCAUUUUCCCCUAUCCCUAAUUUUACGCAGAGUUUUCUUUUCCACCACUAUAUAUGUUAUUUUCUCCAUCUUCAUGUGCUACAGUAUAAUUAAAAUAGUUUUUGGUAACAGUUAAGAUUGGACAAAACUCUCGAACAGAACCGGACCAGAACCGAAUCGAACCGAGCCAAAUAGUUUUUCUUCAAUAAAAUACCCGAACGUGUAUUCGAAUCGAGAAUUGACGAGUUCGGUUCAGUUCUUAGUUCUAGACUGAGAACCGAAAAAUCGAAUCCCCUUAAUUUUUUUAAUUUAUUUACUUAAAUAAGUCAAAUUCUUUUAUUUUUUCUAAAUAAAUUAGCUAACUAAUUAAUUUUGCUCAAAUCCAAAAUAUGAUUUUCCACAAGAGUACAGCCAAAAAGAUAUAUUAGGGUGCGCUGAAAUUUAAAAUUUUUCAAUAAACUCAUGCUAUAAAAGAUGCUCCAAGUCACACAAGAUUUAGUUUAAAAUGUUAAAUUCACGACGCUCAUGACAAAAUGCAUCGAAAUAUAUCUUAAACACUCGUAACAAAGCUUUAACAAAUAUAUUUUUAACUAAUAAAAUUAAAUAUAGAGUAUAUUACUUAUUUUGAUAAUAACAUCUAUUUCAUGAUCGAAAUAAAUAAAUUUUUAAGUCACAAGUAUAAAUAAGUAAUAUAUGAAAAAUACAUUAGAAAAUAUUUAAUUAUUUUUAAGCUUAAUCAAACGUGUGGCAUCUCAUAUUGUUAAAAUAAGUCAUUUAUCUUUACUUUAAUCAAUAAAAAUUAGUUGUUAUAAAAUAAACUAAUUCGAUUAUAAGUGAACUCUUUAAACUUAGUUAAAUAUAUAUGAAAUAAAAUAUUUAAUUUGAUAACAAGUUAUUUGUGUAUCAUGAAUGUGAAUAAAAUAAAUAUGUAAUUGUUGUGAAGUCUAAAAUUAAAUUUGAAUAAUUAAACGUUGGGCUUGGGUUCGGAAUGAAGUUAGUUAGGCUAAACUUAAUUUUUUGGCCGGGCUAAAUCUCAUAUUCUUUUUUCAUUUCAUUUUGAAUUUGGGCUAAAUUUUCCAUUUUUUAGAAGCUAAUUUGCUUUUGGGCUGGCCUGGGCUCUAUUUGUCUUAGAUUUUCCUACUUCUAAUUUUCCAUCCAAACUCAACUUAAUUAAAUUGACCUAAACUUUACCCAAAUAUAUUAUUCUACCAUAGUGUCGUUUCUACGUUUUUGAAGAAAUUGAAUUGGAAGCUCGACUACGCUUCUCUUCAUUAUUGUGAGCUCGUAUCUUCCUCUUAUAAUUUUAACAAUCAAAUCUAUGAAUAAUUCAAAAAAGAGAAGCGCAAAAGAUACAUAUGAUUGAACUAGAUUAUUCUGCAAGAGCUAAGAUUGAAUAUAUCCUUAGUUGAAUUAAUGCAAUGUUGUAAAUAUUAAAAAAUUUAAUUACUAUAUGGAACUCAGGAAUCGAAUCAAACUAAACCGAAUUCGAACAGUUCUAUAAUUAAAUUUGAACCGACAAAUAUCCGAAUAUUCGACCGAACCAUGUCCAACCCUGGUAAGUAUAUUAUCUCAGUAGUUUUUAUCUUUUUUUGCUAUAUACAACUUCCAAAUGUUAGUAGUUUUUAAGUUGCUUAAUUUCUUCAAUCGUUACAAGAUUAAGUAAUUAGAAGGAAAAAAGAAAAUUAAUUUGGCAACUCAACCAUAGAAAUAGAACUAACUUUUGGAUUAGAGGGAGAAUAACAAAAACCAAUUCUAGAUAGUAAGAGACUAUAAAUUCUUGAGUUGAGUUGGUACAAAAUUGGUCAUUUCUUAUAUUAAUUCUCUUUUUUCUCAAUAGUGUUUCAAGUACAAAAAAUAUAUAGUCGAGCAACUCCGUAAACUCAAAGAUAUUAAGAUCAAAUCAUCCUACUAAGGGUCGGACAUCCCACUUCCAGAAAAAAGGGAUACGAAAGAAAUAGUUGUCAUAGAACUUGGAAGAACUAGACCCCGAAAGCUAGCCAUUGAGGUUGAAGAACCCAAGCCUAUUUAAACCAUACAAAGGAAGCUCAUACUUCCGAUGUUAGAUUCAAGUGCUCAUACACCCCAAUGGGAACCAUGACAAACCACCAAGCUUCCGACUCAGGGUCCACGUCGAGCAAGUGCCCAUACACCCUAAGUGGUAACCGAGACCAGAAGAUAAGGUACCUGCUUUGAUUUUGAUACCAUUGUAAUGGUUGGAGAGCUGAACUUCAACCAAACUAGCUAAAUUCCCCUUAAAAUCAACACACAAUUUAAGAUACUAAGCAGGGAUUUGAUAACCCAUCUGGGAUUCCAUCAUUUGACUAAAAUUACACAGAAACAAUGUAAUGUAAAUUGUAUUCCAUUGAUUGAUAAGUUCUAUUACAAUGUAGGGAUACAAAUAAAAGACAAAAAUAAAAAAAAGAGAGAUCGGUGGAGGAGCAGAGACAGAGAAGGAAGAAGAGAAAGAACAGAAGAAGAGGAGAAGCAGAACCUAGAAGGAGAAACAGGGAAGAAGCAGGAGAAGGAGAAGAGGCUUACCAGAGGGGAGAAAUGCAAAAAUCAGAGGAAAGAAGAACACGAGAAGGGAGAAGAAGAUGGUUUUGGGCAGCAAAGCCACAAUUCAAUUCAACAACUCCUCAUCGUCUUCAAAGUAAAACCAUAUGUAGAACAAAAUAACCCUGAAGGGCUUGGGCUAGCCCACUAACAAAAAAGCCCAAUUAGAUAAAAUAACAGUAAUGUAGUUAACCAUGAUAUUCUAUUUCCCUUAAAUUAACCUUGUCCUCAAAGUUCAAAGUGUUAGAUAGGAUUAUUCCUCCAAAUCAUACAUAUUCUAAUUAGCAUAAUUAGUAUUUUGUAUAUAGAAAUAAUGUAUUUUUACUAUAUUUAGAGUGCAGUCGGUGGGUAGUCGGUACACUCUCGAUCUUUGGAAGAUUCUGUGGGUCGAUUUCAAGUGUGUCGUGGAAUUUUUUAGCCGCCUUCUCCUUCAAAUCAUCUGUUCCCGAAGUUAAUCGCAAACUUCAUUCUUGGGCUGAUUCGGUGCGUGAGUUCAGGGUGUCGUUUCCAGCGUUUUCAGAUUUGGGCUCUAGGAUUUGAUAAAAUACCAGAUUUGGGCUUAUCUAUUUUGGACAGGUAAUAUCUUGGAUUAGGCUUUCAGUUGUUGGGAUGGGUAUUAUUAGACUCUUGUGCUUAAAUCAUUUGGGCAUUCUAUUGGACUACAUAUAACAUUUUGGACUUGGACACAAUUUAAUUGCAUUACUACUUUAUUGAUUUGAGUAGUAAAUUAUUUGCUUGUUUUAUCAUAUCAUGAGAAAAUUCUAUUAUUCGUUUUAAUGGAAAAAAUUACUCGAGUUGGGUCCGGAUGUCUGUGAAAGGAAAAGAAUUAUGGAGUCAUUUAGAUGGAUCUUCUACGGUACCGACUGAUGCCAAAGAACUUAAUUUAUGGGAAACCAAGUAUGCUAAGAUUGUUUCAUGGCUACUGAGUUCUACUGAACCACAUAUGGUCAACAAUCUUCGUUCUUUCACUACCGCUAAAGAAAUGUGGGAUUACCUCAAGCGUAUUUACUAUCAAGGCAACAGUGCUCGAAAGUUUCAAUUGGAGUUGGAAAUUGCUAACUACAAUCAAGGUAAUCUUUCUAUUGAUCAAUUUUAUGCUGGAUUUCUUAAUAUGUGGAAUGAAUACUCUGGGAUAGUUCAUUCCAAAGUUCCCAAGGAAGCUUUAGCAGCACUUCAAGUUGUUCAUGCUGAGAGUCAGAGAGAUCAAUUCUUGAUGAAGUUGCGACCAGAAUUUGAGACUGUGCGGGCUAAUUUACUAAACCGUACUCCUAUUCCUUCUUUAGAUGUAUGCUUAGGAGAAUUACUAAGUGAGGAACGUCAUCUUGCCACACAACUUGGGAUGAUUCCAGAAACUACUACUAAGAUGGUUAAUGUAGCGUACGCUGCUCAAGGGAAAGGAAAGCUCAAGACAUAAGUACAGUGCUAUAGUUGCAAAGAGUUUGGGCAUGUUGCGAAAAAUUGCAGCAAGAAAUUCUGCAAUUACUACAAAAAGAAAGGAAAUAUUAUUAAAGACUAUCGAGUAUGGCCGCAAAUUAAACAAGAGAUGGCCUUUCACACUGCUAUCCAGCCUAAUUCAUUCGCUACACCUCAAACUGGUUUUUCCACUAAUCUUACACCUGUGAUGGGCCAACGGAUGAUUGUUUCUGCUUUCACUGCUCUUGGUCUUCAAGGUAAUAAAAAUCUAAUUCUCUCUCCUUGGUUGGUUGAUUCGGCAGCAUCCAAUCAUAUGACAGGUAGUACAGAGGACUUGCAUGGUAUUCGUAAGUAUGAGGGUAAUCAACAUAUUCAAAUGGCCAAUGGCAAUACUACUCCUAUCAAAGCAAUUGGAAAUUUGGGAUCUUCUUUCACCAAUGUAUUUGUGUCACCGGAAUUUAAUUUCUGCUGGACAGUUGGUAGAUGACAAUUGUGAAAUUCAUUUUAAUCGUUCUGGUUGUUGUGUGCAAGAUCAAGUAUCGGGAAAAGUGAUCGCGAAGGGGCUUAAAGUGGGACGUUUAUUUCCUCUUCAGUUUUCGAUUUUUGAUUCAUUUGCUUGUAAUGCUAUUGCUACUGAUAAUAAUGUUUGGCAUAAGAAAUUGAGUCACACCAAUUCUAAUGUCUUAGCUCAUCUCAUAAAAAAUGGUUAUUUGGGCAAUAAAGAUUCAUUUUCUCAUAUGUCUACCGAUUGUAGUUCUUGUAAGCUUGGUAAAAGCAAAAAUUUACCUUUCCCAUCACAUGCUAAUCAAGCUUUUACAUGUCUUGAGAUUAUUCAUACUGAUGUGUGGGGUGUAAGUCCUGUGCCUUCUCAUGCUCUAAGUAUUUCG